GACGAACGCUGGCGGCGUGCCUAACACAUGCAAGUCGAGCGAAUGAAGUUCCUUCGGGAACGGAUUUAGCGGCGGACGGGAGAGUAACACGUGGGCAACCUGCCUCAUAGAGGGGAAUAGCCUUCCGAAAGGGAGAUUAAUACCGCAUAAGAUUGUAGUACCGCAUGGUACAGCAAUUAAAGGAGUAAUCCGCUAUGAGAUGGGCCCGCGGCGCAUUAGCUAGUUGGUGAGGUAAUGGCUCACCAAGGCGACGAUGCGUAGCCGACCUGAGAGGGUGAUCGGCCACAUUGGGACUAAGACACGGCCCAGACUCCUACGGGAGGCAGCAGUGGGGAAUAUUGCACAAUGGGGGAAACCCUGAUGCAGCAACGCCGCGUGAGUGAUGACGGCCUUCGGGUUGUAAAGCUCUGUCUUCAGGGACGAUAAUGACGGUACCUGAGGAGGAAGCCACGGCUAACUACGUGCCAGCCGCCGCCGUAACAC
rnacentral:rRNA from 1 species